rnacentral:lncRNA from 1 species
CCAACUCGCUGGCGUGCCAGGGCAAGUACACCCCGAGUGGCACCGCGGGGGCGGCGGCCAGCGAGUCCCUGUUCGUGUCCAACCACGCCUACUGAGCACCGCUGGCCACCAGCCACCAUCUGCUGGCCACCAACCAUCCCCUGACAUCUGCUGGCCACCACCAACCACCGCUGGCCACCACCGACCAGCUGCUGGCCACCAGCCACCAUCUGCUGGCCACCAACCAUCUGCUGGCCACUGCUGAGCACCCAUGGACCUCUGACCACCCACUGACCACCUAUGGACUGCUGACCACCUGCUGGCCGCCCUGUGGCCACUGACCACCCGCUGACCUUCUGCUGACCACCCAGUGACCACUGACCACGCUGUGGCCACCCUGUGACCACUGACCACCUGCUGAGCACUGCUGACCACCCAUGGACCUCUGACCUUCUGCUGACCUCUGACCACCCAUUGACCACCCUGUGACCACCCUAUGACCACUGACCACCCGCUGAGCUUCUCAUGACCACUGACCACCCUGUGACCACCUGCUGGCCACUGACCACCCUGUGACCACCCUGUGACCACUGACCACCUCCUGACCUUCUGCUGACCACCCAUGGACCUCUGACCACCCUGUGACCACUGACCACCCUCUGACCACCUCCUGACCUUCUGCUGACCACCUCCUGACCUUCUGCUGACCACCCAUGGACCUCUGACCUUCUGCUGACCACCCACUGACCACCUCCUGACCUUCUGCUGACCUCCCAUGGACCUCUGACCACCUGCUGGCCACUGACCACCCACUGACCUUCUGCUGACCACCCUCUGACCACCUGCUGACCUUCUGCUGACCACCCUCUGACCACCUGCUGACCUUCUGCUGACCACCCACUGACCACCUACGGACUGCUGACCACCCUGUGGCCACCCAGUGACCUCUGACCCCCCGUGUCCCCCCCGUGUCCCCCCUGAGGCCCCUCCCCCCCCAAUAAAGGUCACGGAUGGACCCGGAAGUGCUGCUGG